GGAACACAGGUGCUGCAUGGCUGUCGUCAGCUCGUGUCGUGAGAUGUUGGUUAAGUCCGCAACGAGCGCAACCCUUGUCAUUAGUUGCCAUCAUUUGGUUGGGCACUCUAAUGAGACUGCCGGUGACAAACCGGAGGAAGGUGGGGAUGACGUCAAGUCCUCAUGGCCCUUAUGGGUAGGGCUUCACACGUCAUACAAUGGUCGGUACAAAGGGCAGCCACUCAGCGAUGAGGCGCUAAUCCCAUAAAGCCGGUCUCAGUCCGGAUCGCAGUCUGCAACUCGACUGCGUGAAGUUGGAAUCGCUAGUAAUCGUAGAUCAGCAUGCUACGGUGAAUACGUUCCCGGGCCUU
rnacentral:rRNA from 1 species